rnacentral:lncRNA from 1 species
AUGGUAGGUUUAUUUGAACAGUGAGAGACAGAAUAACAAUGAAAAUAUCCAGAAAAACGCAUGUUAUAAAAUGAUUUGCAUUUUAAUGAGGGAAAUAAGUAUUUGACCCAAAGAUUUCUGGCCAGAAAUUCUUUUUUAUUAUUAUUUAUUUUUUUAUAUUAUUUUAUUUUGUGUUGCCUGUUUUGCAUGUUAUUUUUGCAUUAAUACUUAUCACAUAUCAGUUUCCAAACAAUGUAAACUGAGGGGGAUCAACUGAGAGGGAUCAAGUUUCAGCUGAGAGGGAUCAAGUUUCAGCUGAGAGGGAUCAAGUUUCAGCUGAGAGGGAUCAAGUUUCAGCUGAGAGGGAUCAAGUUUCAGCUGAGAGGGAUCAAGUUUCAGCUGAGGGAUCAUCCCCCUUUAGCCCCUCGUGUUGCCAGGCAGAGCUGUUUUAUCCAGACGCACGUCCUGUGCUUUUUCAUUUGGACCAUAGGGCAUACAGACACAGCUUGGCUACAUUGUAACCUUGAUGUGGCCACCGCACACUAUCAUAUGGGCCAGGACUGUUACUUUUGUAACUGAAUGAAAACAUUUUAACAAUGUGAUUUAACCGAUUUGAAGUUGGAAAAUAGACGGCAAAAUGCCGAAUGGUGUUCAAUGCCUGUAAACAGCUUGUGGUGCACGCAGCUCAAUGAUAUUUAACUACAGCAUCGGAUCAACACCAUUGGAUCGACAGCAUCGGAUCAACACCAUUGGAUCAGCAGCAUUGGAUCGACAGCAUCGGAUCAACACCAUUGGAUCAGCAGCAUCGGAUCAACACCAUUGGAUCAGCAGCAUUGGAUCGGCAGCAUCGGAUCAACAGCAUUGGAUCAGCAGCAUCGGAUCAACACCAUUGGAUCAGCAGCAUCGGAUCAACAGCAUCGGAUCAACAGCAUCGGAUCAACACCAUUGGAUCAGCAGCAUCGGAUCAACACCAUUGGAUCGACAGCAUUGGAUCAGCAGCAUUGGAUCAACAGCAUCGGAUCGACACCAUUGGAUCGACAGCAUCGGAUCAACACCAUUGGAUCAGCAGCAUCGGACCGACACCAUCGAACAUUAAAACAACGAUACAAAUGUAACAGCACAAUAAAGUAGAUAAACAUUGUCUUUAGCAGGAGCCUUUUCAUCUAAACACCAGUGGUGAAACUAGUGCCUUCUAACUGCACUGGGCCAACACACUGGGCCCCAACACACUGGGCCAACACACUGGGCCAACACACUGGGCCAACACACUGGGCCCCAACACACUGGGCCAACACACUGGGCCAACACACUGGGCCAACACACUGUGCCCCAACACACUGGGCCCCAACACACUGGGCCCCAACACACUGGGCCCCAACACACUGGGCCCCAACACACUGGGCCCCAACACACUGGGCCCCAACACACUGGGCCAACACACUGGGCCAACGCACUGGGCCAACGCACUGGGCCCCAACACACUGGGCCCCAACACACUGGGCCAACACACUGGGCCCCAACACACUGGGCCCCAACACACUGGGCCAACACACUGGGCCCCAACACACUGGGCCCCAACACACUGGGCCAACACACUGGGCCAACACACUGGGCCCCAACACACUGGGCCCCAACACACUGGGCCAACACACUGGGCCCCAACGCACUGGGCCCCAACGCACUGGGCCAAUGCACUGGGCCAACGGACUGGGCCAACGGACUGGGCCAACGCACUGGGCCCCAACACACUGGGCCAACGGACUGGGCCAACGCACUGGGCCAACACACUGGGCCCCAACACACUGGGCUAACACACUGGGCCAACACACUGGGCCAACGGACUGGGCCAACGGACUGGGCCAACGCACUGGGCCAACGGACUGGGCCAACACACUGGGCCAACGGACUGGGCCAACGCACUGGGCCAACACACUGGGCCAACGCACUGGGCCAACACACUGGGCCCCAACACACUGGGCUAACACACUGGGCUAACACACUGGGCCAACGGACUGGGCCAACGCACUGGGCCAACACACUGGGCCCCAACACACUGGGCUAACACACUGGGCCAACACACUGGGCCCCAACACACUGGGCCCCAACACACUGGGCCCCAACACACUGGGCCAACGCACUGGGCCAACGCAGUGGGCCCCAACACACUGGGCCAACGCACUGGGCCAACGCAGUGGAGCGCAAGCAAAGAAACAACUAGACUUUUGAGUAAUCAGAACCAUUCAUUUUGAGGUGACGGCGGUACGGGGUGCAAAAUGCAAUCUGUUCAUUAUUUUAUCACAUUAAAUUAGAUGUGUCCAUUUUAUAUAUAGACUAGCUCAAAACAUUACUAAUCACUGAACAUGACAAAUUACCCGAUGGGUCAUUUUCUGGUACAACAUAGAGGUGCAAAAACAUUCAUUCAGACACGAUGGACACAGGCCUCUCCCACCUGGACACGAGGAACACCUGUGUGAGGAUGUUGUCCACUCCAAGCUUGACACUAAAGCUGAAGGCCCUUGGUAUGAGCACCUCCCUCUAUAACUGGAUCCUGGACUUCCUGAUGGGCUGCCCCCUGGUGGUGAGGGUAGGUAACAACACAUCUGCCACUCCAACACCGUCAUUAAGUUUGGAAGUCCAGGGAGGAGGUUAGAGCGCUGGCAACCAGCUACAGGGAGGAGCUUAGAGCCCUGGCAACCAGCUACAGGGAGGAGGUUAGAGCCCUGGCAACCAGCUACAGGGAGGAGCUUAGAGCCCUGGCAACCAGCUACAGGGAGGAGGUUAGAGCCCUGGCAACCAGCUACAGGGAGGGGGUUAGAGCCCUGGCAACCAGCUACAGGGAGGGGGUUAGAGCCCUGGCUCAUAUACCUCAAAUAUGCCAUAUACCUCAAAUAUCUAAUCAAAUUCCAAAUCAUAUCAAAUGUAUUUAUAAAGCCCUUCUUACAUCAGCUGAUAUCUCAAAGUUCUAUACAGAAACCCAGCCUAAAACCCCAAACAGCAAGAAAUGCAGGUGUAGAAGCACGGUGGCUAGGAAAAAAUCCCUAGAAAGGCCAAAACCUAGGAAGAAACCUAGAGAGGAACCAGGCUAUGAGGGGUGGCCAGUCCUCUUCUGGCUGUGCCGGGUGGAGAUUAUAACAGCACAUGGCCAAGAUGUUCAAAUGUUCAUAAAUGACCAGCGUGGUCAAAUAAUAAUAAUUACAGUGGUUGUCGAGGGUGCAACAGGUCAGCACCUCAGGAGUAAAUGUCAGUUGGCUUUUCAUAGCCGAUCAUUGAGAGCAUCUCUACCGCUCCUGCUGUCUCUAGAGAGUUGAAAACAGCAGGUCUGGGACAGGUAGCACGUCCGGUGAAUAGGUCAGGGUUCCAGCAGGUCUGGGACAGGUAGCACGUCCGGUGAACAGGUCAGGGUUUCAGCAGGUCUGGGACAGGUAGCACGUCCGAUGAACAGGUCAGGAUUCCAUGUGUUGUUUGAUGCUAGAAACCACU